rnacentral:rRNA from 1 species
AUUGAACGCUGGCGGCAGGCCUAACACAUGCAAGUCGAACGAGUGGCGGACGGGUGAGUAAUGUCUGGGAAACUGUAUGAUGGAGGGGGAUAACUAGUGGAAACUGUAGCUAAUACCGCAUACAAUCGGAUGUUACAAGGUGGGAUUGGCUAGUAGGUGGGGUAAAGGCUCACCUAGGCGACGAUCCCUAGCUGGUCUGAGAGGAUGAUCAGCCAGCUUGGAACUGAGACACGGUCCAGACUACUACGGCAGGGAGCAAGGGGGAAUAUGGCACAACAGGCGCAAGCCUUAUGCAGCCAUGCAGCGUGUAUGACGCAGGCCUUCGGGUUGUAAAGUACUUUCAGCGGGUAUGCGUUACCCGCAGAAGAAGCACCGGCUAACUCCGUGCCAGCAGCCGCGGUAAUAC